AGCAGUAGGGAAUCUUGCGCAAUGGGCGAAAGCCUGACGCAGCGACACCGCGUGGAGGAUGAAGAUUUUCGAAUCGUAAACUCCUGUCAAUAGAGGAAGAAGGUAUUUAUAGGUGAAUAGCUUUAUAAUAUUUGACGGUACUUUUGUAAGGAAGCCCCGGCUAACUACGUGCCAGCAGCCGCGGUAAUACGUAGGGGGCAAGCGUUUUCCGGAUUUAUUGGGCGUAAAGCGCACGCAGGUGGCUUUUUAAGUCGGAUGUGAAAUCUCUUAGCAAAACUAAGAAAUUGCAUCCGAAACUGGAUUGCUUGAGGUCGGGAGAGGAGAGUGGAAUUCUCGGUGUAGCGGUGAAAUGCGCAUAUAUCGAGAA
rnacentral:rRNA from 1 species